rnacentral:lncRNA from 1 species
AUAAAAGUAAAUAAAACUAAAACUAUAAAUUAAAAAUAAAAUGAAAUAAAAUAAAAUAAAAAACAGAGAAGCUCAUAUGCGUUUCAAAGCUCAAAAAUUGUUUCAAAGCCCUAAAAAUGUUUCAAAGCUCCAUCCGGAAAAACUAUUACUUCCAAUCCUUUCAACGAUUCAGUCGUUCAUUAUUGUUCUCAAUCCUAAAAUCAUUCCAAAGCUUCAUCUCACAAAUCUCUCUCGUUCAUUAUCGUUCUCAGUCCUCCAUCAUGCAAAAUUAAGA